rnacentral:rRNA from 1 species
AGAGUUUGAUCAUGGCUCAGAUUGAACGCUGGCGGCAUGCUUUACACAUGCAAGUCGAGCGGCAGCGCGGGGGCAACCCUGGCGGCGAGCGGCGGACGGGUGAGUAAUGCAUCGGAACGUAUCCCGUAGUGGGGGACAACCCAGCGAAAGCUGGGCUAAUACCGCAUAUGCUCUACGGAGGAAAGUGGGGGACCCGCAAGGGCCUCACGCUAUGGGAGCGGCCGAUGUCCGAUUAGCUAGUUGGUGGGGUAAAGGCCCACCAAGGCGACGAUCGGUAGCUGGUCUGAGAGGAUGAUCAGCCACACUGGGACUGAGACACGGCCCAGACUCCUACGGGAGGCAGCAGUGGGAAUUUGGACAAUGGGGGCAACCCUGAUCCAGCCAUGCCGCGUGCGGGAAGAAGGCCUUCGGGUUGUAAACCGCUUUUGGUCGGGAAGAAAAGGCGUCUCCUAAUACGGGGCGUUCUUGACGGUACCGGCAGAAUAAGCACCGGCUAACUACGUG